rnacentral:lncRNA from 1 species
AUUUGCAGGCAUGAACACGGUGAAGCGAAUAGUUGUUCUUAGGAACAAUUUCCCUUGCAGUCUUUCACAGACACCCAGGAGAAAACUGGUGCUCAGGGGCACAAAAUUCCAACUAAAAGAAACAGAGGACUUUACAGGUUUUCCAUGUGGCCCUCUGGAUAAAACAGAAGGCCUCAAGGAUUGUUCUAAAGCUUGGACUUCAAGUUCACAGCAGCCAGCUGUAACUCAGAGGCCGCGUGUUCAAGCCACGAAGAUGCCAGGAACUGGGAAGACAAGAGAUCAGAUGUCAGGAGCAAUGGAGCACCAGCGGUGGAAGAACCUGCCUCGCCUAGCUCCAUCAAAGGCCACAGGCCCAUGAGAAUCACCCAGCCUACUCUGAGCCGCACAGCGGAGGCCACAGCCGCGCACAGGAAAGUGAGAGGAAGUGGAAACGUGCGAGCAGAGGGCUCAAAGCAACGGGCUCACCACCGGAAAAAAAAAAUAAAAAUAAACAUGCUCAGAAAUAGUGUAACUGAUAUGCAAAGAAGAUCAAAA